rnacentral:rRNA from 1 species
GAUGAACGCUGGCGGCGUGCCUAAUACAUGCAAGUCGAGCGAACAGACGAGGAGCUUGCUCCUCUGACGUUAGCGGCGGACGGGUGAGUAACACGUGGGUAACCUACCUAUAAGACUGGGAUAACUUCGGGAAACCGGAGCUAAUACCGGAUAAUAUAUUGAACCGCAUGGUUCAAUAGUGAAAGACGGUUUUGCUGUCACUUAUAGAUGGAUCCGCGCCGCAUUAGCUAGUUGGUAAGGUAACGGCUUACCAAGGCAACGAUGCGUAGCCGACCUGAGAGGGUGAUCGGCCACACUGGAACUGAGACACGGUCCAGACUCCUACGGGAGGCAGCAGUAGGGAAUCUUCCGCAAUGGGCGAAAGCCUGACGGAGCAACGCCGCGUGAGUGAUGAAGGCCUUCGGAUCGUAAAACUCUGUUAUUAGGGAAGAACAAAUGUGUAAGUAACUAUGCACGUCUUGACGGUACCUAAUCAGAAAGCCACGGCUAACUACGUG